GAUGAGCGCUGGCGGCGUGCCUAAUACAUGCAAGUCGAGCGAACGGACGAGAAGCUUGCUUUUCUGAUGUUAGCGGCGGACGGGUGAGUAACACGUGGAUAACCUACCUAUAAGACUGGGAUAACUUCGGGAAACCGGAGCUAAUACCGGAUAAUAUUUUGAACCGCAUGGUUCAAAAGUGAAAGACGGUCUUGCUGUCACUUAUAGAUGGAUCCGCGCUGCAUUAGCUAGUUGGUAAGGUAACGGCUUACCAAGGCAACGAUGCAUAGCCGACCUGAGAGGGUGAUCGGCCACACUGGAACUGAGACACGGUCCAGACUCCUACGGGAGGCAGCAGUAGGGAAUCUUCCGCAAUGGGCGAAAGCCUGACGGAGCAACGCCGCGUGAGUGAUGAAGGUCUUCGGAUCGUAAAACUCUGUUAUUAGGGAAGAACACAUGUGUAAGUAACUGUGCACAUCUUGACGAUACCUAAUCAGAAAGCCACGGCUAACUACGUG
rnacentral:rRNA from 1 species